rnacentral:misc_RNA from 1 species
UUCCAGUGAUAGCCAAGGUUGU